rnacentral:misc_RNA from 1 species
CCGAGUUGCAAAACUCCCAAACCCACUGUGAACCUGUACCACUGUUGCUUCGGCGGAACCGCCCCGGGCGCACCUCCUCACGGGGGCGUGCCCCGGAACCAGGCGCCCGCCGGGGGACCGAAACCUCUGUAUUUUUUACUUGAGUACUCUGAGUGUGAUUUACAAAAUCAAAAUUA